rnacentral:rRNA from 1 species
GACGAACGCUGGCGGCGUGCCUAAUACAUGCAGGUUGAGCGCUGAAGGUUGGUACUUGUACCGACUGGAUGAGCAGCGAACGGGUGAGUAACGCGUGGGGAAUCUGCCUUUGAGCGGGGGACAACAUUUGGAAACGAAUGCUAAUACCGCAUAAAAACUUUAAACACAAGUUUUAAGUUUGAAAGAUGCAAUUGCAUCACUCAAAGAUGAUCCCGCGUUGUAUUAGCUAGUUGGUGAGGGAAAGGCUCACCAAGGCGAUGAUACAUAGCCGACCUGAGAGGGUGAACGGCCACAUUGGGAAUGAGACAAGGCCCAAACUCCUACGGGAGGCAGCAGUAGGGAAACUUCGGCAAUGGACGAAAGGCUGACCGAGCAAAGCCGCGGGAGUGAAGAAGGUUUUCGGAUCGUAAAACUCUGUUGGUAGAGAAGAACGUUGGUGAGAGUGGAAAGCUCAUCAAGUGACGGUAACUACACAGAAAGGGACGGCUAACUACGUG